rnacentral:rRNA from 1 species
AACGGAGGAUUGCCUCAGUAACGGCGAGUGAAGCGGCAAAAGCUCAAAUUUGAAAUCUAGCACCUUCGGUGUUCGAGUUGUAAUUUGAAGAUGGUAACCUUGGGUUUGGCUCUUGUCUAUGUUCCUUGGAACAGGACGUCAUAGAGGGUGAGAAUCCCGUCUGAUGAGAUGCCCAUUCCUAUGUAAGGUGCUAUCGAAGAGUCGAGUUGUUUGGGAAUGCAGCUCUAAGUGGGUGGUAAAUUCCAUCUAAAGCUAAAUAUUGGCGAGAGACCGAUAGCGAACAAGUACAGUGAUGGAAAGAUGAAAAGAACUUUGAAAAGAGAGUGAAAAAGUACGUGAAAUUGUUGAAAGGGAAGGGCAUUAGAUCAGACUUGGUGUUUUACGAUUAUCUUCUCUUCUUGAGUUGUGCACUCGUAUUUCACUGGGCCAGCAUCGAUUCGGAUGGCAAGAUAAUAGCAGUUGAAUGUGGCUUCACUUCGGUGGAGUGUUAUAGCUUCUGUUGAUAUUGCCUGUCUGGAUCGAGGGCUGCGUCUUUUGAGCUAGGAUGCUGGCGUAAUGAUCUAAUGCCGCCCGUCUUGAAACACGGACC